ACCCUCUCAGGAUCGCAUCUGGAUAAUUUCCAGUACUCUACCAAUCUAGACUGUGGGAGGGAGAGUCAAACAGAGGCCUACCCAUUCCAUUCCUAGCUUGGGCAGUGGCUAGCGAAUGGAAGGCAAUCUGUUACAAAU